rnacentral:lncRNA from 1 species
GCAGGGUCCGAGCUGGUUUGUCUGCCCUGCUCCUGUAUCACAACCCCACAAAAGAAAAACAGAAUCCAGAUUUUGUGAGAUAAGCGAUCUCUCCCUACCAAUCCACUAUUGUACUAAUCACUGGGGAUACAGCGAGGUGCCUGGGAUAAUCCCUCAAGGAGUUUCUAAUCUAAUGGAAGAGACAGUAUACAAACAGACCUAUGCAAGGCAAGAUAUAUACAAGAUACAUGAACUAAUUAAAGGAGGG